UACGUAGGGUGCGAGCGUUGCCCGGAUUUACUGGGCGUAAAGGGCGUGCAGGCGGUUUGUUAAGUCUAGGGUGAAAGCUCCCGGCUCAACUGGGAGAGGUCCUUGGAUACUGGCAGACUUGAGGAGGGUAGAGGAGAGUGGAAUUCCCGGUGUAGUGGUGAUAUGCGUAGAUAUCGGGAGGAACACCAGUGGCGAAGGCGGCAUCCUGGACCGGCAUUGACGCUGAGGCGCGAAAGCCAGGGGAGCAAACAGG
rnacentral:rRNA from 1 species